UACAGAGGUCUCAAGCGUUGUUCGGAUUCAUUGGGCGUAAAAGGCGCGUAGGCGGCGGGGUAAGUCGGGGUGUGAAAUCUCAGAGCUCAACUCUGAAACUGCACUCGAUACUGCUCUGCUUGAGGACUGGAGAGGAGACUGGAAUUCACGGUGUAGCAGUGAAAUGCGUAGAUAUCGUGAGGAAGACCGAGUGGCGGAAGGCGGUCGUCUGGACAGUUCCUGACGCUGACGGCGCGAAGGCCAGGGGAGCAAGCGGGAU
rnacentral:rRNA from 1 species